ensembl:lncRNA
GAUUUGGUGGCUGCUUAUCCGCAACUGGCCUUAACUGACUCCAAGCUGCUGGGCUGGUAUCUGCGUUUGUCACCCGAGGACAGAAAGCUCAUACAGGAAGGAGGAGGGUUUCAUCAGUUCUUGCAAAGACAUCCUGCCUUAGAAAUACAUAGGCAUCAUGUUCAUGUGAAGGAUGGCAGCAGUCCUGCCCAGUCAGCUGUGACAGCCAGCCAGCACGUGUUUACAACUGCAGGAACAGAGAUGGAUGGAUGUGAAACACCCAGCACUCACCUGGACUUGGAGAUGCUCGCCAGUAGGGAGAAUUUAACUUUGCUUGGCUGUAACAGGAACGAGCAUCAAGAAAAGCUGUUUGUGCAGGCUCACAUGCCUGGUGGCUUCAGUGCAGCUUGCAGCAGCCCCGUCACACAAAAAACAAAUGAUCAGAAGGCCUGCUAUAGACUUGUAAGUGUGUUUAAAGAGCUUUAGUUUGUGUAGUCAAAGUUGUAUUUUUUUUAUUUUUUUUUUAAAAAGACAAAUCACUGUUGUUAUUUGAAAGGGACUGCCACUGUGCCAGCUGAAUGAAGAUAGGUACUCAUUUCAAACGGGCAGCUGUGCAGCUGUGUGCAAGGAACCAGCCGGCCUGGUGAGCGUUUCUCUGGACACGGACCUCGAGGUAUGUCGACAGAGGAGAAAGCCUGAGCCCUGGAACCAGAUUUCAGGGCUACAAGGCCAGAGUGCAGACUUCAGUCCAUCACAGUCAGAAUGGCCAAUGGCUACCAAAGAGUCUCUCCUAUACUCCAGCAGUACUGACAGGAUUCAGAUGAUUGAUCCAGAGUACACCGAUGGAAGCAUUGUGCAGGCAGUGGAGCCAGAACAGGAUCAAAGCGACACCUUUCAUAGCCUCAUGAAGGAUGAUAAGAGCAUCCUUGUCUGUCUGGCUAAUGACAGUCUGAAAGAACAAAACCGG